GAAAUCGAGUGAGGAAGUAGAUAAAAACGAAGAUACAAAGCCUCUCUUUAGCAUAUAUCAAAGCCAGAUCCAUACCUAAAUCGACCGAAAAUCUGCUUUAAGCCUGCUAGAGUUCUCUUCUUAUUCUAAUUCCAACUAGAGCUCUCUUCUUAUUCUAAUUCCAAACCUAAAUCGACCAAAAAUCGUCUUAAGCAUGUUACCAGAAAUGAAUACCCGUUUUUACUAAGUUUGAAUUACCUAAUCUCAGAAGAAUAUUGAGCUACAAAUACCUAGAAGAUUCAGAGAAGAUUCAGUCCAUGGAAGGUGAUAUUGGUGUUGAUAAAAUUGGAUUUCAGGUUGAUUGCUUCUAUGCGCUGCGGAGGAUCGAGCCUUCGUUCAUACCUUAUGUCGUUUUCGUCAAGCAAGGACUUUCUUCGUUUGUAGGCAUCUACUUGAAAUGUUCUUUCUGCGAUAAUAACAAUUACCAACAUACAUUUGCGAUUAUACAAAAGAUCAGGAUUUGUGUUGUCAAGGCAUGGAGUGUUAUCGUCCGCUCUUUUCCAAGGUUUAAUGCGUGAGGUAUGCAUUCACGAUGAAGUGUUACUCUCAGCUUUCUUUAAUCAGUUAUUCAAUAGUCCCAGUUAGUCUAUUACCAAAUUUGUCAGUUUUCGUUUGUGAGAUGCAAGAAAAAUUCAGGUCCUUACUGAAUUUUUGUAUCUUUCAUGACAUGGGUAUCAUGAUUUCAACCUGGAUAAUGGCCUAUACUGAGAAGAGUUGAGGUACCAUGUAGUUAUCAAUGAAGAUGGUAAUGGUAACAUGGUAUCUAAUUUUACCUUUUUUUGGUGUUGUUUUAAUCUGAUUUAGUUAUUGACUGUGUAAUUUCAGGGUCAUAAAUGGUAGUGGAGUACAGAAGUGUCUGGUAUCCAGCUUUGUGUGUAAUUGCGAAGGCGGAUGAGGAGAUGAGCAGGAAGGUCUAAUAAAGAAGCAAGAAUGAACAAAAGGAAAUGUGGAAGAAGAGUACUGGACAAAGAUGGUCGUUAUUAUGCGUCAUACAGGGAAAGGGAAAUACAAGAUAAACUGCAAUAUGGUGUUUGUGUUGGCUGAGGGUGGAGCCAUUUUCGAAGGAAAAUGCUUGAAAGCACUUAUUGUUGGUGCUGGUUUGGUUAGAAGCAGGUGCACCUUCAUCCCUAAAUCUCUUUUACUUACUACUGGUGGGAUAAAAAUUAGUAUGGAAGCUGUGAGAUAACAAGGAAUUCAAUGUAUCAUCCAGGAUUUCUCAUUCUACCAAGGUUCCAAACUAGAGAAUUGUCAAGUCUUUGGCAUUUAAGUUUUUUGUUACUGGUUAUGUUCAACAUAUUUUAUUCCUGAUAAGUCGCAUGAGUCAUUUUCAACAUCUGUAUUUCAGCUUUAGUUUUUUAUUUAUUUCCUUGAUGAUAUUAAAUGUUAGUGUUUUGAUUGAGAAUGGAAUUACUAUUUUAUUGGGGUGCAAAA